GAUUAGAUAUUUUAAAAAGAAUAUUAGAUUGCAAGUCUUUAGGUGGGAUAUGUUUCCUCUGGUCU
rnacentral:tRNA from 1 species